UAGAUACACCCUCCAAGAAAAAAGCUAGCACUCAAGGAGUUCAAAAAAUGUAGGCAUUGACCAUUUGGAUUAAAUGCCUACAUUUUUUUGAAGUCCUUGAGUGCUAGCUUUUUUUCUUGGAGGGUGUAUAUA